rnacentral:tRNA from 1 species
GCCUGGAUGGCUGGGUCGGUUAAGCGUCUGACUUCAGCUCAGGUCAUGAUCUCGCAGUUCAUGGGUUCGAGCCCCGCAUCAGGCU